rnacentral:rRNA from 1 species
CUAUGCGCCUUGCCAGCCCGCUCAGGUGUGCCAGCCGCCGCGGUAAUACGUAGGUGGCGAGCGUUGUCCGGAUUUACUGGGCGUAAAGGGAGCGUAGGCGGACUUUAAGUGAGAUGUGAAAUACUCGGGCUCAACUUGAGUGCUGCAUUUCAAACUGGAAGUCUAGAGUGCAGGAGAGGAGAAUGGAAUUCCUAGUGUAGCGGUGAAAUGCGUAGAGAUUAGGAAGAACACCAGUGGCGAAGGCGGCCUGCUGGACUGCAACUGACGUUGAGGCUCGAAGGCGUGGGGAGCAAACAGG